rnacentral:rRNA from 1 species
AUUGAACGCUGGCGGCAUGCCUUACACAUGCAAGUCGAACGGCAGCACGGGAGCAAUCCUGGUGGCGAGUGGCGAACGGGUGAGUAAUAUAUCGGAACGUGCCCAGUAGUGGGGGAUAGCCCGGCGAAAGCCGGAAUAAUACCGAAUACGACCUGAGGGUGAAAGCGGGGGAUCGCAAGACCUCGCGCUAUUGGUGCGUCCGAUAUCAGAUUAGCUUGUUGGUGGGGUAAAAGCCUACCAAGGCGACGAUCUGUAGCUGGUCUAAGAGGACGACCAGCCACACUGGGACUGAGACACGGCCCAGACUCCUACGGGAGGCAGCAGUGGGGAAUUUUGGACAAUGGGCGCAAGCCUGAUCCAGCCAUGCCGCGUGCGGGAAGAAGGCCUUCGGGUUGUAAACCGCUUUUGUCAGGGAAGAAACGGCUCUUGAUAAUACCGAGAGCUAAUGACGGUACCUGAAGAAUAAGCACCGGCUAACUACGUGCCAGCAGCCGCCGUAA